rnacentral:rRNA from 1 species
CCUACGGGUGGCAGCAGUGAGGAAUAUUGGUCAAUGGCCGAGAGGCUGAACCAGCCAAGUCGCGUGAGGGAAGACGGCCCUACGGGUUGUAAACCUCUUUUGUCGGGGAGCAAAGAGAGUCACGUGUGACUCCUUGAGAGUACCCGAAGAAAAAGCAUCGGCUAACUCCGUGCCAGCAGCCGCGGUACUACGGAGGCUGCGAGCGUUAUCCGGAUGUAUUGGGUUGAAAGGGUGCGUAGGCGGAAGGUUAAGUCAGCGGUCAAGUGUCGGUGCUCAACACCGGCCUGCAGUUGAAACUGGUCUUCUUGAGUGAGCGAGAAGUAUGCGGAAUGCGUGGUGUAGCGGUGAAAUGCAUAGAUAGCACGAGGAACUCCGAUUGCGAAGGCAGCAUACCGGCGCUCAACUGACGCUGAGGCACGAAAGCGUGGGGAUCGAACAGGAUGAGAUACCCGUGUAGUC